CCUACGGGGGGCAGCAGUGAGGAAUAUUGGUCAAUGGGCGGAAGCCUGAACCAGCCAAGCAGCGUGCAGGAUGACGGCCCUACGGGUUGUAAACUGCUUUUAUACGGGAAUAACGCGCCUUACGUGUAGGGCUUUGCAUGUACCGUACGAAUAAGGACAGGCUAAUUUCGUGCCAGCCGCCGCGGUAAUAUGGAAGGUCCGGGCGUUACCCGGAUUUAUUGGGUUUAAAGGGAGCGUAGGCCGCAUGUCAAGCGUGCUGUGAAAUGUCCGGGCUCAACCCGGGCCUUGCAGCGCGAACUGGCGUGCUUGAGUCCGCGGAAGGCAGGCGGAAUUCGAGGUGUAGCGGUGAAAUGCUUAGAUAUGACGAAGAACCCCGAUUGCGAAGGCAGCUUGCUGCAGCGGAACUGACGCUGAUGCUCGAAAGCGCGGGUAUCGAACAGGAUUAGAUACCCCUGUAGUC
rnacentral:rRNA from 1 species